ensembl:lncRNA
UUCACAUGAUUAAUCUGUUGUCAUCAUAUUCUAUUUGUUUUGGUUUCUUUUUUCCUCUUUUUUUUUUUGAGGAAGAUUAGCCCUGAGCUAACGUCUGCUGCCAAUCCUCCUCUUUUUGCUGAGAAAGACUGGCCCUGAGCUAACAUCCAUGCCCAACUUCCUCUAUUUUAUAUGUCGGAGCCUGCCACAGCAUGGCUUGUUUGAACCCAUGAAUGUUUUCCUUCACAGCUCUGAAAGGAACUUGUUCUCAGUGUGCUCUGUUAUUUGUUUAUCUCUUAUAUUAAUUUCAAAUGCCAAUCUAUGUCCACUGCUAUUCUCUCUCUCCAUCAAUAACCAUUAUAGUCCUUAGUGUGAAUAAUUAUUUAUUUUUUACUAUUCAUAAUAACACACAAUUCUACAGAAAAUAUAAGGGUUUCUUAACUUAAAGCCUUACACAUCUUCUAUCCACUCAAAAUACAAUUUCUGUACAGGCGAAAUUUUUCUUCUGGAGAUUGUUUUUCAUAGGACUAGAUCCAUCCUCUUCAUGUCCCUGUCCUUCACUGGUCACUUCAACUCAUAACAUUAUAUGCUUCCGGGACCUCCUAUGAGUGGCUUUGCCUUAUAAUUUUCCAAAACGCCUGGGGAUUUUUGUGCAUGGUGAUUCCCUAAAACCUGUACUUACCUUUUCUUCAAAAAAACAUUUCCCCCAGGAUAUGAAAAAUGUCAAUUUACAAAUUUUGUUAUUGUAUUCUUCAGCUCUAAAAUUUAUGUUUGAUAUUUUUUAUGCUUUCUCUGUCUGUUAAUAUUGUCAUUUUGUUCAUGUAUUUUUCUCCAUAGCUAAUUGAACAUUUUUAUGAUAGUUACUGUCAAUUAUUUUUCAGCUAAUUCGUAUACCUCUGAUUCUUUAAGAUUGUUUCUGGAGGUUUAUGUUGUUCCUCUGAUUGAACUAGGCUUUCACGUUCCUCCAUGUGUCUUGUGACUUUGUGCUGGGAUCUAUGCAUUUGACAAAACAGCCACCUCUUACCGUAUUUAUGACCUGUCUUUGUACAGGGAACAAUCUUCACCAAUCGUUCUGGUCAGAGAUUCUGGUAUUUCUCUGAGUGUGUUUUAUAUGGAUUUGUGCAUCUCAGUUCCCAAUUAGAGGGAUUUGAUGGUUUAUUUUUUUCAGGAACUCAUAAUUUUCUUCUCCAUCUGGCAGCUGUAUGGUACUGCAUGUUCUCUGGAGCAGCAGAAAGCUACCCAGCUCUUUCGUUCUCUGCAGUCCACAGGCAUCUAGAAUAUGCCAGUGUCCAUCAGUGCUCCAGGAUGGGAGAAGCGAGGAGUUGAAGAUUCCUCCAGCUCCUUCCACACCGAGUUGGGAUGGAAGAUGAAUAUUACGCAGAGUAGGUGCACGCUAGUUCAAACCAUUGCUUUUGGGCUCAGUGACCCCCCAACCUGGCACCUUUCCUGUCAGCACUCAAAUUCAGGCGUGUUGUUGAGUGGGUGUCUGUGUGGGAGUAAGAAGGUUCUGGGUCUUCCUAUUCUGCUUCUUGUUAUCAUCCCUCCUCUUAUUCUUUCUCUCUCUCUCUCUUUUUUUUGUCAUUUAAUUUAAUAUUUUUGUGACAAUGUGUACAUUUGUUUCAACAUACUCAGAUCUUUUUGUUGAUAAUAAAAAUUUGAUUUCUGCUUUGGUUAGCUGUGGGUGCCAUAACAAAAUUUCAUUGGUUAGGUGGCUUAAACAUGGAAAUUCAUAUUGUCACAGUUCUGGAGCCUAGAAGUCCAAGAUGAAGAUCCCAACAUGGUCAGUUUCUGGUGAGAGCUCUAUUUCUGGCUUGUAAAUGUCCACCUUGUUGCUGUGUCCUCUCGUAGCAGCAAAAGAGAAAGAAAGCUCUCUGUAUGAGGUCACUAAUCCUAUCUUGUGGAUCUUACCCUUACGACCUCAUCUAAAUCAAAUUAUGUCUCAAAGGCCCCAUCUCCAAGUACCAUCACAUAGGGAGUUAGGGCUCAACGUAGGGAUCUGGAAGACACAUUUCAAUCUAUAGCAAGUGUGUACUUGCUUUCUUGGAGUUGUCCUCUAGAAGAAAAUAACUUAAUUAAAUUUAAAGCCUAUUGCUAAUUACAAAAAUUUGAAAGAAACAUAUUUUUACUUAAAUGUUGUAAAAGAUGUCUACUUCCUAAUGUCUGUUUCAGUGAAAAUAUUUUCCUUUAUUCUAGUACUGGUACAAAUUGUUGGUUAGAGAUAUAUAAACAUUCAGACAAAAGAGGCCUUUCUUAGUAUUAAAUUUGUUUUUAUGUGAAAUUUUGUGAUUUGAAUCUUCAUGACUCUCAUUUAUAUAAGUAUCAUAAAAAAAGAAAUGUAUUUCAACAAAUAAUUAGUCUUAGUGGUUUCUAUGGACAAAGAAAUUUACAUAAUGGUCACAUUGUAAUGUGAUUUUAACAAAACAGGAAAGUUACACCAAAAAUGAUGUCUUGGUUGAAAAAAAUUUCACAUUGGGAAGUCCCAUCUAGCAAUGGAGAACAGAGCCAUCCAGUGGAUGGGCACUGUGUGCAGUAAAAGGUAAAACAACUGAGCACAAGUUAGUCUGCCAAGUACUUCCUUUAAAGUAACAGCCUCCUCUUUGUUUUCUUUUCCCCAUGCUUGUCUUUCUAAAGGCUCUAAAAUAAUUCAUGGAUUCUAAUUCUAUUAGACUAUUAUGUAAAAAUUAAUGCCAACUGUUUAAGAUCAACACAAGCCCUGCAUUUGCAUUAUCAUGUGUUAUUCUCAUAGCCACUCGUGAGACACUAUUUUAGGGAUGAUUACACGGAGGCUGAGAAAGUCCUGCAACUUGUUUAAGUUCAAAGAGUUAGUAUGGGUUAGACAUGGACUAUUGGCUCUGGCAGCUGAAUCUGAAUCUCAUGCUUUUUGGCACUAUAAUAGAGUUAAUUUAUUCAAAUAUAAAUAUUUACUAUUCAGGGGAAACUUCACCUGCAUUUGUCCCACCUCUCAUGUUAAUUGACUACGCUCAUUCAUAGCCAUUGGCUGACUGUCAAAUAUAGCCUGGCCAAAGAAGCCCAUAUAUUCUCUCACUGUGAGAUCCUGGCUAUACUGUUUCUCUAUCAGGAUGACUCAGAGUUGUUCAGCUCUGGUGUUGGCUGCAAGCAGUAAAUUUGAAACCAUGAAGCAUCAAGUAUCAAAAGGUUUACCUAUUAUAAGGUGGAACCAGUUGUGGAACAGACCUCCAAAUGACUAAAAUCUUCUCUAUUAUGGUAGGAUGUAAAAUUUAAGAAAGAAAUUUAAGACCGAUUUUAAUACCUAUUGCAUGUACAAGAGAAUGUGGAGUUAGAUUUUUCCUGUUGUCUCAGAAUUGUGCCUAAAAUCCAAAGCUGCAGACACAGGGCACCAACAAUUCCUUAGCCACUACUAGCUUCCAAGUUUACUAAGUGGUACUUGUCCUGAGUCCCACUAGUUACCAUCUCUUCUCUCCUCCCCCGCCCAAUUUCCUUCUGUUUCUCAACUUGAGAGACAGAGAACAUUCACAAUUUGUCCUUGAAGUUUCCUUCUUCCACUGCCCUUGGAGAAGGAGACAAUAGUGUUUCUCCAUCUGUGUAGCCAAGUGAGUCAGCUUCAAUAAAAUCCUCAAGAAGGUUGGAGGCGUCUCAAAAAAGGGGAGACUGACACUGUCCCUCUAAAUAUUUACUUAGUCACAGAAUCUGGAGACUUAUUCCGUUUCUAAAAGCAUAACGUUUUUCUUUUCUGUUCUCCUCCCUCACUAUGGGAUUCCCUUACGUUCAGGAGAAGUGCUUGAGUGUGUGCCUGCUUUUAAAGACAUGUUCCUGGUGAGGUUGAAGGUGGUAAGCUGGUCUUUGGAGGGUCCUCGGGAAAUUGGGAGGAUUUCUGACACAGACAGGUGCAGCAUGAAACUUUACAUGUACAACCCUUAUGUAGAGGUUGCCACAUCAUGAGAAGCCACCAGAACCAGACUGGAAUCAGCCUAAACUAGAAGUAGAGCAGAGACCCCUCUCAACCAACAUUGUGGAGACCAUCGAGUAUGGAGAGGUUUGCCAACCUGUCUUGAUUCCAAUCUUGCCUCCAAAUCCAGAGUAACAAACCAAUGUUAGAAGAAUUAGAAAGGAGUUGUCUCAGAGACAAACUACAUCCCUCUCCUCCACUUCAAAUACUAAAGAUUGGUGGAGUGGGGAAAGAGGGAAGAGAGGAGAAGAGCUUUGAGUCAAGUAUGAAAUUGAGGUUUUAAAAAAUGAGCAGCAUCCAGUCUUAUUUAUUGGAAACAUUUUGUUCUGCUACUCAAAAUGACCAUGGAAUCAUCCAAAGACAUUGGUGAGGUGGUGAUCAUCUAGCUGGAGAAGGAAAUUUGACCCACUGUUGCUGUUGGGGAUAGUUGGAAGAAAAUAGUUAUUUUGUAAUUAAACUCCAACAAAUUGAGACUCCUCAGUCGGUAGUUUUUUAUAAGUGAAUUGUUUCUCUCAGCAAGUUUCUGUGUAAUUUCUUAUGGAUGAAAUUUCACUUACUUUUUAUGUUAUAUAGACCACAGAUGUCUAAUAGCACUUUCUGUAACAAUCAAAUUUUUCUAUAUGUCUUCAGUCCAAUGUAAUAUCCACUAGACACAUGUGACCAUUGACUAAUUGAAAUACGGCUUAUAAGAAAUUGAGGAACUGAACUCUUUAUUUUAAUUUAAUUAAUUUUGAUUUAAAUUUAAAUACUACCAUGUGUCUAGUAGCUACAAUGCUUAACAGUGUUAGUCUAGAUUCUGAAAACAAAAAUUGGGUAGAGGCAAUAAGGAAGGUAAGGAAAGUUCAAUGUUAACAGGUGUUUUUUCUUUCCUGCAAAUGUAUGUAUGUAUUUAUUUAUUUUUUAACGGGUAGUGUAGAAGCAUCAAUGUGUAUUAACUUUGCC